rnacentral:rRNA from 1 species
GUGCCAGCAGCCGCGGUAAUUCCAGCUCCAAUAGCGUAUAUUAAAGUUGUUGUGGUUAAAAAGCUCGUAGUUGAACCUUGGGCCUGGCUGGCCGGUCCGCCUCACCGCGUGCACUGGUCCGGCCGGGCCUUUCCCUCUGUGGAACCCCAUACCCUUCACUGGGCGUGGCGGGGAAACAGGACAUUUACUUUGAAAAAAUUAGAGUGCUCCAGGCAGGCCUAUGCUCGAAUACAUUAGCAUGGAAUAAUAAAAUAGGACGCGCGGUUCUAUUUUGUUGGUUUAUAGGACCGCCGUAAUGAUUAAUAGGGACAGUCGGGGGCAUCAGUAUUCAACUGUCAGAGGUGAAAUUCUUGGAUCAGUUGAAGACUAACUACUGCGAAAGCAUUUGCCAAGGAUGUUUUCAUUAAUCAGGAACGAAAGUUAGGGGAUCGAAGACGAUCAGAUACCGUCGUAGUCUUAACCAUAAACUAUGCCGACUAGGGAUCGGACGGUGUUAUUCAUGACCCGUUCGGCACCUUACGAGAAAUCAAAGUGCUUGGGCUCCAGGGGGAGUAUGGUCGCAAGGCUGAAACUUAAAGAAAUUGACGGAAGGGCACCACCAGGGUGGAGCCUGCGGCUUAAUUUGACUCAACACGGGGAAACUCACCAGGUCCAGACACAAUAAGGAUUGACAGAUUGAGAGCUCUUUCUUGAUUUGUGGGUGGUGGUGCAUGGCCGUUCUAGUGGUGGGGUGACUUGUCUGCUUAAUUGCGAUAACGAACGAGACCUUAACUGCUAAAUAGCCCGCAUGCUCCGGCAGUGCGCUGCUCUAGAGGGACUUUCGCUUCAAGCCCGAGGAAAGUUGAGGCAAUAACAGGUCUGUGGGAUGC